GAUGAAGAACGCAGCGAAAUGCGAUAAGUAAUGUGAAUUGCAGAAUCCCGUGAACCAUCGAGUCUUUGAACGCAAGUUGCGCCCGAAGCCAUUAGGCCGAGGGCACGCCUGCCUGGGCGUCACACGUCGUUGCCCCCCCAUCUACUCCUUCGGGAUUGCGGGGGGCGGAUGAUGGCCUCCCGUGCGCCUCGUCGCGCGGUUGGCAUAAAUGCCAAGUCCUCGGCGACGCACGCCACGACAAUCGGUGGUUGCGAAACCUCGGUUGCCCGUCGUGUGCGGUCGUCGCGCAUCGAGGGCUCGAAAAAAUUGCCGGGCUCCGGCUCGGCUUUCAACGCGACCCCAGGUCAGGCGGGGUUACCCGCUGAAUUUAAGCAUAUCAAUAAGCGGAGGA
rnacentral:misc_RNA from 1 species